rnacentral:rRNA from 1 species
UACGGAGGGUGCGAGCGUUGUCCGGAAUCACUGGGCGUAAAGGGCGCGUAGGCGGCCCUGGCAUGUCGGUGGUGAAAGCCCGCGGCUCAACUGCGGGUCGGCCACCGAUACUCCAGGGCUCGAGUUUGGUAGAGGCGAGAUGGAAUUCCGGGUGUAGCGGUGGAAUGCGUAGAGAUCCGGAAGAACACCGGUGGCGAAGGCGGUCUGACUGGGCCAAGACUGACGCUG